rnacentral:sRNA from 1 species
UAUUCUGCCCCAUGGGGAAGGAUGAGAAGCUUCGACUAAGGUUCGACUCGAGCGAAGCGAGAGAACGUUGCCGCAGGCAACGGCCCGAAGGGCGAGGCGCUUUAGCGCCGAGUGCGCUUUAGCGCCGAGUAAUCCUUCCCCCACCACCA